rnacentral:rRNA from 1 species
AGCGAACGCUGGCGGCAGGCUUAACACAUGCAAGUCGAGCGGGCACUUCGGUGUCAGCGGCAGACGGGUGAGUAACACGUGGGAACGUACCCUUCGGUUCGGAAUAACGCUGGGAAACUAGCGCUAAUACCGGAUACGCCCUUUUGGGGAAAGGUUUACUGCCGAAGGAUCGGCCCGCGUCUGAUUAGCUAGUUGGUGGGGUAAUGGCCUACCAAGGCGACGAUCAGUAGCUGGUCUGAGAGGAUGAUCAGCCACACUGGGACUGAGACACGGCCCAGACACAUACGGGAGGAAGAAGUGGGGAAUAUUGGAAAAUGGGCGAAAGACUGAAACAGCCAGGCCGCGUGAGGGAUGAAGGCCUUAGGGUUGUAAAGCGCUUUUGUCCGGGACGAUAAUGACGGUACCGGAAGAAUAAGCCCCGGCUAACUUCGUG